GGUCAUGUGAGGACAGAGCAAGAAAGCACCACCUGCAAGUCUAGGGAGAGACCUCUCAGAAACAUACCCUGCUGGCAUCCUGAUCUUGGACUUCAGCCUACAGAAUUGCGAUGAACACAGAAAUGAGCUGCCUAUUUCUCAGCGACAGGAGCUGCUGGCUGCCAGUAAUAUCUUCCUACAGGGUUCCUUAGAUUACUGUGCUGGGUACAGCAGCUUGACCAGUGCAAAAACAACAACCAUACACAACCUUCUGCCAUUGCCUGGGAACAGGAGCAACUGGAUUCAGCCCUUCUCGCUGGACACCAAAUGGACAGUGUGGGCUUCCUGUGAAAGGCCCCACUGCUGUUCCCCAGAGACGGAGAUUCUCAGAUACAGCAGGAGAAUGUAAAAUUUUGGGGAAAGCUGUAUCAUUUACUUCUCAAGACAAAUGAGCCCAUGUCAAAGUCAGAAUAUUGGAAGAAGACAGAGAACACUACCACUCCUAUAGCAGAGACAUGUGCUGACACUACAAUUACUCCUGGUUCAUAUACUUCAGAUGGGCAACCAAGAAGGGAGAAAAUUCGAGGUUGGCUCCCAGACAGGCAGUGACAGCAAAUGCUGGUGAUAGAAGUCAUCAAAAGGAAGAUAAGGAGCCCCCUCAGGCUAUAACAAGAUGUCAAAAAAUGCAAUACACACUUAUGUUUGAACUCAUGAUCUCCUAGACAAUUUAUGUAUUGUAAAAAAAAGAAAGAAAGAAAGAAAAGAAAGGCCAAAACAAUGCUUUAUAUAUAUCACCUCAUUAUUUCUUCUUAUGGUUUAAUGAAGUAAAAAUUAUUCUCAUCUUCAAGGCACAAAUGAAGAAACACAGCUACUCAGGUGGGGAGCAGUGCCCAGAAAUGAUGAGAUUUGGCACAAGUCCUGCACACAUCACCACUCACAUCCUGAUGGGCCUUCAAUUCAUACUGAUCAACAUUCCCGGAGAGCUUUCACUAUGAAACACUGAAUUGGCAGGGCAUUGGGGCACUCAGGUGGAUGGGUACUGAUAUUGAUUUGGGGCCCACAAAUGAUUGCUAGUGGAACAGGCAGAAGGAUGUAUAAGAAGAAUAUGAGCUACUAAGGUCAAUGUGAAGGAAGAGAGAAAUGAAUGGGAUUAGAACAUGUGAGAGAUUAAAAUACAAGAGAAGAGAAAUGGUGGGAAGUAAAGCCAAACAGAACAAGCCUAUGCAUAGGAUAAAGAGUGCCGUGACUGUGAAAGAAAGUGAGUAAAUCUUUUCUUGAAGCCACUGGAAAGAAAGGGGAAGUGAGAAGACAAAACGUCAGUCCAAGCCCUGCUGGGACUGAGGAGCAGCCCCAUGGACCCCAUGAUCCCCUCGCACCAGGCUGAGGGUGUUGAGCCUUGAAUGGGAUGCUGUGGCUGAUUAUUGAAAGUGAUGCAGAACCCUCAGGGGGAUCCUUUAAGAAUUUUGUGCACUUACCAAGGUCAGUUUAAAAUUAAAACUUAAACUUAAUGAUAAAGACAAGACUUAGGGUCAACCUAUGGCAGUUGAUUAAACAAGUUAGAGCCGAUUCCCCCACUCGGUAGCUCUUCCCUGGAACAGAGUCCUUAACUGGAGUCCACAGACCCUCACAAUAUCUACAGAAAUGUUUCAGGGGCACAGAACUUAAAUGCGGUUGAGGAAAUUACACCUUCUUUUUCACUCACCUCCACCUGAAAGUAACCAUUUCCUUUCUUGUGAAUUUAGACAGGAAAUCAAAGCAGUGAUUUCCAUAGGAACUGUGACUUUGUCACCAAUAGAUACUCAUCCAGCUUGAUGAUCAAGCUGUCAAUAGUGCAGAACACACUCUAUUUCCUAUCUCAACUAAAAGGAAUUUUAUUCUAUUCUUUUUGAGCAAACAUAAGAAUUGAUAACUCUAAAACUGUGCUUCUUCAACUAGGACAUGUAACAGGUCAUCUGAGACUCCUAUGAAUGCAAGUUGUGACCUAGCAGGUCUGGUGGGACCCGAGAGGCUGCAUGCUUAACGAGCUCCCAGGGGGCUGAUUAGGGGACCAGACUUGGAGUCACCAGGCUGCUGUUAUUUGUACGGGGAACUUUAAAGAUGAAGAUCCUUACUUGGACAGAUAUAAACAAAAGUAUUUGAAGGUGUAGAGCCUAUGUCACUUGGUAUGCAUUUUACACCUCACAUGAUAAUAUGAACAAUUACUUAAACAUGUUCUCUUCAUGUUAAUCAGUAUAUAGAGUUAGGCAAAUUGUUCUCUCAAGUGUGUUUUCUUAUCAGUUUGUUGAUACCUUUAUUGCUUCAUUUAUCAUGUGGUAAUAUAACUGUUUAUAAUAAAUGUUCCCCAAGUGUGUGGUGACCACGUCUUCUUCAUCUUUACCUCCACUGUCUUUCACAGUGUUUUGUAAAUAUUAACUUUUUAAUGAACAUUCAAAAGGGAGCUUACCAAUGCCAUGGUUUCCUUCUACAUCCCUGAAUUGCACACAUUGGAAAUGUACAAUCCUUAACCAAAACACAUUUGUGUUUAAUUCCCAAAGCAACUUUGGAUGAUAAAUUUUUUUCUGUUUCAUUUUCCUCAUCACCCAAAUACUCCUUUUUACUUGGGGCCUACUCACUUUUUAAUUACAUUUGCAUUUAUCUAA